AGCGGCGGACGGGUGAGUAACACGCGGGUAACCUGCCCGAGAGACUGGGAUAACACCUGGAAACAGAUGCUAAUACCGGAUAACAACACUAGACGCAUGUCUAGAGUUUGAAAGAUGGUUCUGCUAUCACUCUUGGAUGGACCUGCGGUGCAUUAGCUAGUUGGUAAGGUAACGGCUUACCAAGGCAAUGAUGCAUGGCCGAGUUGAGAGACUGAUCGGCCACAUGGGACUGAGACACGGCCCAAACUCCUACGGGAGGCAGCAGUAGGGAAUCUUCCACAAUGGACGAAAGUCUGAUGGAGCAACGCCGCGUGAGUGAAGAAGGGUUUCGGCUCGUAAAGCUCUGUUGGUAGUGAAGAAAGAUAGAGGUAGUAACUGGCCUUUAUUUGACGGUAAUUACUUAGAAAGUCACGGCUAACUACGUGCCAGCAGCCGCGGUAAUACGUAGGUGGCAAGCGUUGUCCGGAUUUAUUGGGCGUAAAGCGAGUGCAGGCGGUUCAAUAAGUCUGAUGUGAAAGCCUUCGGCUCAACCGGAGAAUUGCAUCAGAAACUGUUGAACUUGAGUGCAGAAGAGGAGAGUGGAACUCCAUGUGUAGCGGUGGAAUGCGUAGAUAUAUGGAAGAACACCAGUGGCGAAGGCGGCUCUCUGGUCUGCAACUGACGCCGAGGCUCGAAAGCAUGGGUAGCGAACAGGAUUAGAUACCCUGGUAGUCCAUGCCGUAAACGAUGAGUGCUAAGUGU
rnacentral:rRNA from 1 species